UACGUAGGGACCAAGCGUUGUCCGGAAUCAUUGGGCGUAAAGAGCGUGUAGGCGGCUUGUUAAGUCUUGCGUGAAAUCUCGGGGCUCAACCCCGAGCGGUCGUGAGAAACUGGCAGGCUAGAGUGCGGGAGAGGAGAGUGGAAUUCCCGGUGUAGCGGUGAAAUGCGCAGAUAUCGGGAGGAACACCAAUGGCGAAGGCAGCUUGCUGGGACGGUACUGACGCUGAGGCGCGAAAGCGUGGGGAGCAAACAGG
rnacentral:rRNA from 1 species